GACCUGCGCCCCCUCCCCCAGCCCUAAUCCCUCCUCAUCGCGAAGCCGCCGCCGCCUCCAUCCCCUGUCGUCCCUCCACGCCGCCUCCAUCCAACGACGCCGCUCCGACCUUCGACUCGUGACGAAUCUGCCGCAACCUCGCCCCCGCAACCCCGCCUCCAUCCCUCAACGCUGCCCUGACCUUCGGCUCUCGACGAAUUUGCCGCACCCCAUCCACCCCGCCACGCCAAACACCCAGACCUCCAUCCCCGACGCCGCCCCUGCCACCACGCAGCCCGUUUGUUUGUUUCUGCCCGUUUGCUGCAGAUCGUGCCGUGCUGAAGAUCACGUAGGAGUUCUUGAGUCCGCCUAUGGAUGUGAUGAUGCAAUUGCUCCUGGGGUUGGCCUUAUGCAUGUGGGCAGGUCUUGCUGUUCCAGCGAAGUUCCUUUCGGUGCUCCCUCACUCUGAGGAGAAUAGGAAAUAAUGAACCGCUGGUCAUUGCCUCUAUUCAAGUAUCCCAUUCAGAGGAGAGAUUCAAGUCAAAGCUGGCCGUUGCAUUUUCUAUUCAAGUAUCUGUUUAGUUCAAGAUGUUCAGUGUUUUCGUGGAUAUAUAUUGACCACGUACUCGGUUUAUAUUUCUUAAUUUGGGUGCACAGUGAAUCAGACCAUAUAGGUUCA